rnacentral:rRNA from 1 species
CCAGCACCCGCGGUAAUUCCAGCUCCAAUAGCGUAUAUUAAAGUUGUUGCAGUUAAAAAGCUCGUAGUUGGAUCUGUGGCGUGCGAUGUGUUCCGGGCACUUGUUGUCUUAGUAACUCGUCGCUGCCAUCCUUGGGUGGAACCUGUGUGGCAUUAGGUUGUCGUGCAGGGGAUGCCCAUCGUUUACUGUGAAAAAAUUAGAGUGUUCAAAGCAGGCUUAUGCCGUUGAAUAUAUUAGCAUGGAAUAAUGAGAUAGGACUUUUUCGCUAUUUUGUUGGUUUGCGCGAAGAGGUAAUGAUUAAUAGGGACAGUUGGGGGUAUUCGUAUUCCAUUGUCAGAGGUGAAAUUCUUGGAUUUUUGGAAGACGAACUACUGCGAAAGCAUUUACCAAGGAUGUUUUC